ACUGCCUUCGCUUACUAUUCCUAUCUCGUUUCUACAUUCCACAACGUUUGUUGCGUUCUCGCUCAUCAGGGUGUUAGUCAAUUCUCUCUUGCCACACGAAGAGAAUUCUCCUGCACACUUCGUGUGUUGGAUUCUACCCAUCCCUGUUGAACAUACGUCAUUUUCUUCCAUUGCACUCAUCAGGGUGUUUGCUCUUUUCCAUCGAAGCCAAAGAGCGACUUCAGUGUGCUCUGAACCGUGGAUGUGAGAGUGUGUGUUUGUGUGCUGCGUGAACUAUUUUUCCUGCGUGAAACACUUUCCAUACUGCGCCAUCCGCAGUGUUCUUUCUGCUUCAUCGGAGGACGAAUUUUUAUCAUCUAAUUGUUUGGUUUCAGAUGUGUGCUGCUACCGCUAGCUGUUCCUCAAACUACUUAAAAAGUGUGACACUGUGUGGACAGGUGUUCAAGUUUCAAUUGAUCCUCAAGCACAAAGCCUUCAUACAACACCUAAAAAGUGUGACACUGUGUGCACAGGUGUUCAAGUUUCAAUUGAUCCUCAAGCACAAAGCCUUCAUACAACACCGCGGUUGAGGCGCGCCAAAUCUGAUGACAUCUUUCCUGAACCAAGCAGGCUGAACACGCGCACCACUACGGGCUCCAGCGCGGUGUGAAGAGGGAAGAAGAAAAGACAGAAUUGGAAACAGCCGCAUCAGGCUUCCAACCACAGUGUGUGUGUGUAUGUAAGUAUGUGAGAACACAUGUGUGAAUCCUCUUGUGGGAACUGCAAAAAGAAGAGAAUAAAGAGCGUGAAGCAGCUA